ensembl:snRNA U7 U7 small nuclear RNA
GAGUGUUACAGCUCUUUUAGAAUUUGUCUAGCAGGCUUUCCACUUCUUACCAGAAAAACCUUC